rnacentral:rRNA from 1 species
ACGGAGGGUGCAAGCGUUGUUCGGAAUUACUGGGCGUAAAGGGCGCGUAGGCGGUGCGAUAAGUCAGGCGUGAAAGCCCCGGGCUUAACCCGGGAAUAGCGCUUGAUACUGUUGCGCUUGAAUCCAGGAGAGGAUGGCGGAAUUCCCAGUGUAGAGGUGAAAUUCGUAGAUAUUGGGAAGAACACCAGUGGCGAAGGCGGCCAUCUGGCCUGGAAUUGACGCUGAGGCGCGAAAGCCAGGGGAGCAAACGGGA